UAUCACCUUUUAUCAAUGAUAGUUCAUGUUUCCAUGGCUUAGACCCUCGAACUUGCCAGUACAUACCAUUCAGUAAGUUAAUGUUACUGUAAUAGAAGACAUGUAAAACUUGGGUUCACGCUUAUUACCAAUUUCUUGAUGCUUUAUGAUCAAAUUCUUGAGCUUUUGUAGAUCUGGACGUGUCAAUUUUAAAGUGCGUCAAAACGAGUCUGGUUAAGGCUCGAAUGAAGGUAGAUUUAAGCUUCUAUUCAAGCUUGUUGGCUCAAGGUGAGCCGUGGAGUUAACAACCGUGGUUCUGUCAUAGAAUGGAAUGGAAGAUGGUUGGAUGAGGUUAAGAUUGUUCUUGCAGACCUAAGCCCAUGAUUUGACAAAGGAAGUUGAACUGUUGCCACCUACAACAACAUGGUGAGUAGUUAUUCCAAUGGAGAAACCUUCAUUUGGGAAAAUGGUGAGUUGGAGAGCCCUGGCAGAAACACGAUCACCAGCCAUAGAUAACGUUGGUACAAGACGAUGAUAGUUGGCUUCUAGACGAAAGCCGCCACCAGUGAGGUAGAGAAAGUCGAGGUCAGAUGACUCAGCAACGGUAAGGGAAACGGUGUCGCCUUUCGAGAAACUGGAUGAUAGGCUUGUGGGAGAGUUGGGGCCAAAUAAGGUUGCCAGCAAGCGGAAGGUAGUGAGUGAUCGUGAGUAUGAGAGGAAGUGAGUGUUUGAAGUUUGGCAGAACAUUAAUAAUAUUAAUUGAGUUCUGGUAGAAGUAAAGGUGAGAGGUGGCCGGAGGAUAUGGAAGGAUAAUUAUAUCAAAGAAUGUGAAAGGAAGAAGCUUAGAUGCAUUUGGAGAAGGUAAAUGAGCAACUCUACAAAUCUCAACUAUUUUGACAUACUCAUCGUCCUUAUCCAUUGGGAGGAACUCAAUUCCUUUUCCCCUAAAAGAAAGUAAUUAAGAGAAUGAUAGGCGUUCGAGAAAUCAAAUAGACAAGCAAUAACAAUAGCUAUAAUAAUAAAUAGAGGAAGCAAUUAUUGGAGGAUAUGCAUGUAAUUGAUAUUGAAUAUAUGGGUCGUUUAAGUUGUUUAGGAGUUCUUUUGGUGGAUACAAAUACCUUUUCUUUUGAGUCAUGUAUGUUUUAUGUCUUUCUGUUUCGUUGGUUUUGUCAUUUUUUUUCUCUUAUUUUGUGGUAUUUUCUUUGUACCUUGACCUAAAGUUGCGAGUUCGCCCUCAUCCUUCUUACCAAUCCAAUUCUAUUAUUUUUGCUAGUGUAUACUGCAACUAACCUAGUUUGCUUUUGUAUACAUCAGUAUUUGUAUUUGGUAAUUGGUAUGGUUUGACCGCAUGUAUAUUUCAAUUAGAAGGCUAAGGGGGCUUCACAAAAUGUCUCCUAUUUGGGCCUAGAAUUGUUUGUUGGAUCCACCAAACAGAUUCUCCAGGCCUUAGUCCAAGAUUGAUGAGCUGGAAGCAGAAAUUUGGCAUCAAAGUUAGUUAUUUGAAGCCUUAUAUAAGAAUUCAUCAGCGUUAACACACGAAAAAAGGGCAAGAGUGAGUGAAUAGAAGAGAUUUCGUUUUAAGAGCAUCUUUUGCUGGGUUUUCGUCUUGUGUGAUCAUUCCGAUAUGAGCAUCUUAAAUCAACAAAUUAGUAUUAGAGUUUCAUAUUUGGGAGUCUGAGUUUGUUGUGCGAAGUACUCAUGGCUGCCAAGUUUGAGAUGAGAGGUUUGAUGGCAAAGAAGAUUUUUCCCUUUGGAAGAAGAAGAUCAAGGCUCUGCUUGUGCAAUUGAAGAAAGCAAAAGCCAUUGAUGAUUCCGUUACUCCCUUCAGCAACAUUAACAGCUAAAGGAAUCAAAGAGAUGAAAGAGAUAGCCUUCGGCACGAUUAUUUUGUAUCUUGCAGAAAAUGUGUUGAGACAUAUUCCAGAGGCUAAGACAGCAGAGAAGAGGUAUGAGCUGAGUUAGAUGUCAUAUAUAUCUCACUGAAUCUCUUGCUAAUAAGCUUUAUAUUAAGGAAAGAUUCUUUUGAUUUAAGAUGGAUGCAAAUAAAGAGGUAGAACAUAAUCUAGAUGAUUUCAACCGUAUAUUAAUUUAUCCAAGUAAUAGAGAAGAGAAGAUGUCCGAUGAAAACAAA